GAUGAACGCUGGCGGCGUGCUUAACACAUGCAAGUCGAGCGAAGCGCUCACGCGGAAUUUUUCGGAAGGAAGCGGGAGCGACUUAGCGGCGGACGGGUGAGUAACGCGUGGGUAACCUGCCCCAUACCGGGGGAUAACGGUUAGAAAUGACCGCUAAUACCGCUUAAGCGCGCGAGGCCGCAUGGCCGCGCGCGAAAAACUCCGGUGGUAUGGGAUGGGCCCGCGUCUGAUUAGCUGGUUGGCGGGGUAACGGCCCACCAAGGCGACGAUCAGUAGCCGACCUGAGAGGGUGGCCGGCCACAUUGGGACUGAGACACGGCCCAA
rnacentral:rRNA from 1 species